GUCCCCAAACCGCGCGUGAGGGAGAGGCCUUUGGGUUGUAACUCCUUUUCUCAGGGAAGAAGAACUGACGGUACCUGAGGAAUCAGCCUCGGCUAACUCCGUGCCAGCAGCCGCGGUAAUACGGAGGAGGCAAGCGUUAUCCGGAAUUAUUGGGCGUAAAGCGUUCGUAGGCGGCGUUUCAAGUCUGCUGUCAAAGGCCGAGGCUCAACUUCGGAAAGGCAGUGGAAACUGAAAAGCUAGAGGUCGGUAGGGGCAGAGGGAAUUCCCAGUGUAGCGGUGAAAUGCGUAGAUAUUGGGAAGAACACCGGUGGCGAAAGCGCUCUGCUGGGCCGAACCUGACGCUGAGGGACGAAAGCUAGGGGAGCGAAAGGGAUUAGAACCCCGGUGUCAC
rnacentral:rRNA from 1 species